rnacentral:lncRNA from 12 species
UACUCCCUGGAACACGAGGCUCCACAGGGAGCUGCCAGUGGCAGAAGAGAAUGAAGUCCCACAGGACUCACUGGAUGAAUCUUAUUGGACUCCUUCAGUGGCCAUGACCUGCCAGACGCCUGCAGGCCUUAUACAAGUGCCUCAUUCACAUCUGAUAAGCAGGAACUCUUCUUGGGUCUUGAUGUGGACGCUCCCAUGCAGGUGCCCUGUCACCGGGGGCUAUUGAGGGGAAACUUGACUUUCCUAAGGGCAGAGGUGCAAACUUCAAGAGCACAGCCACAGCCCAGCACCAAGGAGGCCAAUUCUCUGCAGUUGCAGCUGGGCCAGCAGUUGGAUCGUGGUGACAACAGAGCCAGGCUCGACCUCUCCCCCACCAUCUGGAGCCUGGCAGCCAAGAUGGGUUCUGGGGACCAAAGGCCACUCUCCCAAGAGCUGGGUUUGGAUGCAUCCGUGGGCAUGACAAACCACACUCUCAAGCUGGAAGGUGAAACUGCUGAGGGCUCGGUGGCCAGUCAGUGUGAGUGUCAAGUCUUUGACCCCAUGAAGGCCCCAGGUGUCACGAAACACAAGAUUAUCAAGAGGAAACUGCAGUUCAUUCAGGGGCAACUUGCAUGCAGAUUUCCCGCCUUCAAGCUUAGGGCGCAGAGAAUUUGGUGA